GGGGGCUGGGGCUCGGCUUCCGGCCCCGGAGGGCGAGAGUCCUGCGCCACGUCUGUCGCGGGGAGGGGGCGGCCCUGUGAGCCCUCCCGAGUCCUGUGGGGGCGGGCCUCGGGGGCUAGGAAGGUGGCUCCAGGUCCCCCCUGCCCCCCAGCCCCGCUUUGGCCUUUCCCGGGGGAAACGUCUUUGAGGACGUCUCGCUUUUCUCGGCCCCUGCAAGUGGCCCUCUCGGCGCCGCCCCCUCGCAGCGCCGGCCCUGACCCGCGAGGGAACCCCCCCCCCCAGGGUGCGGGCGCGCCCCGGAGCAGCUGCGGGGCGCAGGCGCACGGCUGCGCCCUGGUGGGAUCCCCAGGCGGAGGGGGUCCCCGAGGAGGUGACCGCCCGUCCCCCUCUGGGAGAACUCGCUCCAAAGAGAAAGCCCGGCGCACGCAAACGAGGCCUGAAAUGUAUCUUUUAAAAAUGUUUUGUGCGGCUGAUUUUUAAUUAUCAUACUGAAAAAUUGCCACUUUUAUUUGCGUGGACGGUUUCGUGGACUGUUUGGAGAGUCGUCGCUCGACCGGGUUCGGAGCAGUUGCGUCACCCCAAGGAUCGCCUCCUGCUGUGGCUGCUUGUUCCUCUCGGUGCCUCGGUGUCCCGCGGUGUAGACGGGUGGCCGUUCACGCACUGAAGAACGUUCGGUUGUUGCCUCCUAUUGCACACAAAGCUUCCUACCACCGUCUCUGGGGGAGCAAAAGUCUGCGUUGGGAUGAAGUCCAGUUUAUCAGUUUCUUCUCCGAUGGCGUCUCUCCAAACUCCGAGCAAGCCCGUGUCGUGAAGAUCGCGUCCCGUGACCUUCUGCUUGUUUUACUUCUAGUUCCGUUGCUGUUACAUAUGCAUUUUAGAAUUUGCCCAUCUCUGUCUACAAAAAAAAAAUCUUGCUGGAAUUUCGCCUCGUGAUGUGUGAAGUCUAUAGAUCACUUUGAGGAGAACUGACAUCUUCGCUACGCUGAGCCUUCAGAUUCAUGAACAUGCACCGAAAAAAUACUGUAUUACCGAUAAGAAAGUCCGGCCUUCAAAUCAUCAUUCUUCUACAGGUACUUUCCAGUUACCUGAGGUUCCUUUUUCCUCCACCAGAAACUGUCCACUUCUGCAUUUGUGACGCAUUUGGGGCCAAGUGGCACGACUUAGAGGAAAAACUUCUGCUAAUUAUCAGGUUCAGCACGGUUCCAGGAUCCAAGAUCAAUAUACAAAAACCAGCCACAUUUCUUUAUGUUAAGCAAUGAGCAAUCCACCGAUAAAAUUGAGAAAAAAUUCCAUUCACAACAGCAUUGAAAAGAAAGUAACUAGGAGUCAGUUUAACAAACGGAGUGUGAGACUUGAACUCUAUGCAGCAUUUCUUUUUUUUUUUUGUAAUAAUGAUCUAUUUUUGAGAGACAGAGCGACAGGAGAGGAGGGGCAGAGAGA